rnacentral:rRNA from 1 species
UACGGAGGGAGCUAGCGUUGUUCGGAAUUACUGGGCGUAAAGAGCUCGUAGGCGGUGUGUCGCGUCGGCCGUGAAAACCUGCAGCUUAACUGUGGGCUUGCGGUCGAUACGGGCAUCACUGGAGUUCGGCAGGGGAGACUGGAAUUCCUGGUGUAGCGGUGAAAUGCGCAGAUAUCAGGAGGAACACCGGUGGCGAAGGCGGGUCUCUGGGCCGAUACUGACGCUGAGGAGCGAAAGCGUGGGGAGCGAACAGG